rnacentral:rRNA from 1 species
AUUGAACGCUGGCGGCAGGCCUAACACAUGCAAGUCGAACGGUAACAGGAAACAGCUUGCUGUUUCGCUGACGAGUGGCGGACGGGUGAGUAAUGUCUGGGAAACUGCCUGAUGGAGGGGGAUAACUACUGGAAACGGUAGCUAAUACCGCAUAACGUCGCAAGACCAAAGAGGGGGACCUUCGGGCCUCUUGCCAUCAGAUGUGCCCAGAUGGGAUUAGCUAGUAGGUGGGGUAACGGCUCACCUAGGCGACGAUCCCUAGCUGGUCUGAGAGGAUGACCAGCCACACUGGAACUGAGACACGGUCCAGACUCCUACGGGAGGCAGCAGUGGGGAAUAUUGCACAAUGGGCGCAAGCCUGAUGCAGCCAUGCCGCGUGUAUGAAGAAGGCCUUCGGGUUGUAAAGUACUUUCAGCGGGGAGGAAGGGAGUAAAGUUAAUACCUUUGCUCAUUGACAUUACCCGCAGAAGAAGCACCGGCUAACUCCGUG